rnacentral:rRNA from 1 species
CAGUCAAGAAUAUUAGUCAAUGCUCGCAAGAGUGAACUAGCUAACUGAAAUAACAGGAUCCACUACGUGUGGUGAAUGUUAUAACGUAAGGGAAAAAAAUGAUAUUACCUUACUAUUAGUGUUGUCCAAAACUGGUGCCAGAAGACUCGGUAAGACCAGAGACGCAAACGUUAGUCGUCCUAAUCAGGCGUAAAGGGUAUGUAGGCUGCUUUAAAAGUUUAAUAUUUAAUAGCUCUGUAAAAAAAAAAAUAAUAUUAUAAAUAUAAAUUUAAUUUUACAGUAAAUAUCAAAUGAAUUAAAGCUAGGAUCAAAUUGAGGAUAAGUCAAAUAAUACUUAGUGUAGGGUUUAAAUCUGGUGAUACUAGGGGGAGUACUAACGGUGAAAGCUUUUUAUCUAGAAAUGAUUGACGCUGAGAAACGAAGGUGAGAAUAGGAAAUAGGAUUAGAUACCCAGAUACCUCUCACAGUCAACGAUGAAUGGUGGUUGUUAGUUAGUUUUACUUAACUGAUAACGAUGUUAACACGAUAACCAUUCCGCCUUGCGAGUACGGUUGCAAAACUGAAACCAAAAAAAUUAGUCGGUCUCGAAGCAAACGAAGUGAAGCAUGUUAUUUAAUUCGAUAAUC